AUUGAACGCUGGCGGCAGGCCUAACACAUGCAAGUCGAACGAGUGGCGGACGGGUGAGUAAUGUCUGGGAAACUGCCCGUUGGAGGGAGAUAACUACUGGAAACGGUAACUAAUACAGCAUACCAUCGGAUGGGGCCAGAUGGGAUUAGCUAGUAGGUGGGGUAACGGCUCACCUAGGCGACGAUCCCUAGCUGGUCUGAGAGUAUGACCACCCUAACUGGAACUAGGACACGGGCCAGACUCCUCCGGGAGGCUGCAGUGGUGAAUAUUGCACAUUGGCCACAAGCCUGAUGCAGCCCUGCCGCUUGGAUGAAUAGGGCUUUCGGGUUGUAAAGUACUUUCAGCGAGGAGGCGUUACUCGCAGAAGAAGCACCGGCUAACUCCGGGCCAGCAGCCGCGGGAAUUC
rnacentral:rRNA from 1 species